GCAUGCGUCAUCGCGCAUGCGGACUGGCGGGGCGUCCCGGGCCAGCCGUGGCUUAGUGGAUCUCUGAGGGAGGACCCGUCGGCAUGUUCCGGUUGCUUCGCUGGCGUCUGGGUCGAACCCUGCUGCGGGCCGCGGGCCGGCGGUGUGGGGGUUGUACGGCGCGCCUGCUGCCGGAGCGGACGGGCGACGCGGGGACGGGCGCGGAGCGGCUGCGGACCCGAGGCGCGCCGGCGCGGGGGCACGGGGUGCUGCCGCUGUUGGCAGCUCUCGCCUGGUUCUCGCGACCCGCGGCGACGGCCGAGCAGCCGGGAGAGGACGCGUCAGACGAGGCGGAGGCCGAGAUCAUCCAGCUGCUGAAGCAAGCCAAGUUGAGCAUCAUGAAAGACGAGCCAGAAGCGGCCGAGCUGAUUUUGCAUGACGCUCUUCGCCUUGCGUAUGAGAGUGACAACAGGAAGGCCAUCACGUACACUUAUGACCUGAUGGCCAACUUAGCAUUUAUACGAGGGCAGCUUGAAAAUGCAGAACAGCUUUUUAAAGCAACGAUGAGUUAUCUGCUUGGAGGAGGCAUGAAGCAGGAAGACAAUGCAAUAAUUGAAAUCUCUCUGAAACUGGCCAACAUCUAUGCUGCUCAGAAUAAACAGGAAUUUGCCCUUGCUGGCUAUGAAUUCUGCAUUUCAACUCUAGAGGGGAAAAUUGAAAGAGAAAAGGAAUUAGCAGAAGAUAUUAUGUCAGUGCCUGGAAGAGAGCCUAGCCCCCAACAUGGCCUCAGUAAUUACUGAAAGAACAAGUUGGCAAAGAGCAGUGAGUAAAUACAAUUUGGAGCAGUACAGAGGAGCAUGAAGAAACCCAGAGAAAAUAUGAACAAGGUCCAGCCACAGAGUAUAAGAAACAGCCAAUACUUACCUCCUCCUUGGUAUGUGCUUAGACUCUUGUGCACGCUAUCUGCUAUUCUCCAAGCAGCUAUCACAGGCACAAAGGAUGUAUGAAAAAGCCCUGCAGAUUUGUCAAGAAAUACAAGGAGAAAGACACCCACAGACCAUUGUGCUGAUGAGUGACUUGGCUACUACUCUGGAUGCACAGGGCCACUUUGAUGAUGCCUACAUUUAUAUGCAGAGGGCGUCAGAUCUGGCAAGAGAGAUAAAUCACCCUGAGCUGCACAUGGUACUCAGCAAUCUGGCUGCCAUUUUGAUACACAGAGAGCGAUACACACAAGCAAAGGAGAUCUACCAGGAAGCGCUGAAGCGAGCAGAGCUGAAAAGAGAUGAGGUUUCUGUUCAGCACAUCAGGGAAGAAUUGGCUGAACUGUCAAGAAAAAGUAGACGUUUGACUUAAUUUUGUUAAGCUAUAGAAGUUCAUUUUGUUGUAGAGAGGGUAACCUCUGAUAUCCCAAAGGAGUAACUGUUCCUUCGUUGUCUGGACCUCAAUCAGUGUGUAAAUCAUUGUUGAAAUUCAACGUUCGUCAACUCGGCUUCGGAGAAGGACAAGUUGCAUACACUGCCACUUUUGUUUCUAAAUUUAUUUUACUUUGAGAUGGGUAUCUCUAUGGGUAGGCUGGCCUGGAAAUCACUAUAUGCUUGAAGUUGGCCUCCAACUUGGAGUACUACUCCUCCCUCGGCUUCGAAAGUGCCUGGCCCUACUUUUGUUUUUAAAGGUGAAACAGCUUUUACCCUGUACUGACUGUAUAUAAGGUACAGUCCAUGCUCAUCUGAGAAAUUUACAGACUACAGUUGGCCAAGUUCCUCACCAUAUGGUCAUUAUACCUUCCAUAAGAUUUUGAUUCAUGCUUACUUUUCUGUAUCCAUUUCUGGCAAACAAGUUACUUGUAUCAUGACACAGGAGGAUUUUAGUUAGCUCUCUUACACACUAUUUUAUUGAUGCAUUAUGAGAUUUAAUGACUAUGAAGGGGAAUGAUAAUUCUAGUUGGCCAUCAUUGGCAGCACUUACUACUAAAGUGGAAGUGAGACAUUUGGACUGUAUAUCUGUUUGUAUGUAUAUAACUACUAAAAAUGAUGGUGGCAGAAGGAAUGAAGCCCUCAUCAGCACUGUCUGAACACAGGGCUUCCUUUAUAACCACAGGCACAGAGUGGAGUAAAGUUAUGCUUACAGCACCCAUGUGCUCAGGGUAAUGUGCAGCCUCUGAUCUGGAUCCUAGUUAGCUCUACUUUUUUAUUUUGCAAUCUCUGAAGUCUGAAACCAAUUAGAUUGUUUGUCUGAUGACUUUAUCACUGCCUCAGAGUAUAUAAAUAUAUGAUGCAUGGAUGGAUGCUUUUACCUUUGCAGUCUGGCAAAUGGCUUUUUGCCUAAGAGAAAACACAUUUUUCUGGGUGCCACGAAGGAACCCUGGUGGUAGAGGUAGGCGGUGUGAGUACGAUUGCCAGUGGACUUUGGUUCAUGUGUUUGUUCUGGGAGAAUCUCUAUAAUAAACUAGAGACUACGCAAUUGUAUGGAUUCUAAUAAUCUUGGAAUCAUAGAAAAAUAAUGGCCAAGUUACUAGACAGACAUACUAAGGUCCAAGUCCUCAGAGCUAAGAGCUACCGCAGAGUCUGUGUUGUGUGGGGAGAGCCCCACAUUCUGUUUGAGUUCAUUUACCAUUCACUUCCUAACCACAUGUGAUCUUCCCGCUAACCAUGAAUAACCAGGUAAGAGUUCAGUUACCUUUGCUUUGAAAAUGUUUUUUACUUUUUCACAAUUCCAGAGUUACCCAAGUUAGCUGUUAGGCUUUUUAAUGUUCCAUGGUGACUGACCUCAUGUCCUGUGGCUGGGGACACAGUCUGUGUAUGUUCCCAGCAGCAUUCGUUUGCACUAUUAUAAAAAAGGCAGUGAGACAAAGGGACUCAUCUCCUUUUACUGAUUACAACUUUAAACAAUUUACAUUUAAUUUCAUAUUAAAGUUUUAAACUAGACCAUGUUACUAGGGUUUUCAGGGCUUAAGUGUUUGUAAGACAAUCACAGCAUAUGAAAAUUUAAAGUGUAGUAUAAAAUUUCUCACUAAGUAGACUGGAAAAUUGUCAGAAUAUUACCUCUGCUGGAAGACCUUGAUUUAGUUGCAUGUGCAUGUGUUACAGAUAUAGUGCUGGCCCGCCUUGAUUUGCAGCUGAGGUCGCAGACUCAGUACUUGCUGCUGCCCGCGUCGGUAAGCCGGCCUCCACCUCUCUAGGUAAACUGUGGGGUUCUGUUCUGUUCUGAAGUAAGAAACGAUUCUGGACUUCAUGUUGUGUUGUCGUGAACACAGAUAGCACAAGCAGUCUGCAGGAGGAGCUACAAGAGUAGGUGACCAAGCUCGAUUGACUGACACAGUAAGACAGGGCCAAUCAUCAUCAUCAUCAUUUUUUGGGCUAGUUGACAAAGUGACUUACUAAUAAGAUCUAGACUUAUGUGACUAUAACUUGGCAGGGGGACACUUUCAGCAGUAAAUCUAAUCAGAACACUUAGUCUUCAUUAUGUUUGUGACUAUUGUAAAGGUAAUGACUUUACAAGUGAUAAGAAUCCUGUUCUGGCUGGUCCAGAACUCAUCUUGUAAUCCAGACUAGCCUUGUACUCUUAGUGAUCCGCCUGCCUCUGCCUCCUGAGUGCUGGGAUUAAAGGUGUGUGCUAUGAUGCAUAGCUAAAGUUUAAGAUCUCAAAUGUCUGUCUUUCUUACUUGCUGAGUUAUAUGGACAAAUGCCUAGCCUGCACCUUCAUCUAUAAAAAAGUGAUCAGAAACCUGUGGUGUAGAUAGAUGCUAAGAGGUGCUUGGGCAGUGGUUCUAGAGACUCAGACCUCCUGAAGCCCUCCCUCUCCCUUCUAGUUCUUAGUGGCAUUACCCCCCCCCCCCACACACACACACACACACUACUAAGCAUCUUUAUGCAGUGGAAGGAAGCCAUAGGAGAACAAAUCUGAAUCACAGCAAGCAAUUCUUAAUGAAUAAAGGUGAUCCUACAGUGCCAUAAUUAGUUUAAAAUUCAGUCUUUAAAUUACUUGCACCUUAAGAAUCUGUUCCCUAGGAGCAGAGAAUGGGCACUGAUGCAGAGGACUGUGCUCAACGGUCAGUUCACGAUGCAGCAUAAAAACAAGCCUGGAAGACAGAAAGUUCUAUACAGUGUUCUCUUUUUAACUCCGCCAAUUCUGUAUCUAAAGAAAAGCAUGUAUACUAAUUGUUUGAAACCUGAGAAACGAAGACUCUUUACGUCACAAAUGAUGUACUGUAGCUAUGGACAGGAUAGUCAAAAUUUAUUUCAGAACAGAAAGAAGCUUUGUUGGGCUGCAUCAAAUGCAGAAUACUUAGGGGGCGUGGUUAAAUUACCAGUGUGCAUAAACAUUGAGGUAUGCCUCAAAAAAGCCUUUAAACUUUAAAACUGAACUAUAACAUACCCAUGCAGUAAUUUUUUUCAGUGCUACCAAUGAAAGCCAAGCCUGCACUGGAACUCACAAUAUGACAGUUGUGUUGCUCCUGUCUUCUGACCUCAUACAGGCUUUAUGACAGGGUAUGUGUUAAAAACCUAAAUAUUUCCACAAGAUUUAAACAUCACUGGGAAAGCUGAAUUUAGAGGAAACAAAAGUACAAUGCCCAUGACAGCCAGCACUGUGGAACUGGGCUGUGUGAGGUUUAGAGGCUGGGGUUAAAAAGAUACACAAAGAAUUUUAAAAAUUCUCCCCAGUUGAUUCGCUGAUUUAAAUUUAAGUACACCAGAUACUACAGCAAGGGGAUACACUGCAAAAAAGUCAUCUAUUUACAGAAGAUUGAUUUAAAGACAUCAUGGUUUUCUUUACAAACAGAUGUAAGAACAAGAAUUGUCCACUUUAAAAAAACUCUACACUUCAACCCGCCACUGUUAUAAUCCAUUGAAGUGCCUGUAUUAGAGGCAGUUUUUUUGUUUGUUUUUUCCCAUUUGAUUUUCCAAAUGAAUUUCCAUCAUUUCUUCCUCAUCCAUGGCCCUGGCUCUCCUGAGAAGUCUCUGGGCACAAAUCAUGGGAGGGCAGAAUAAUUUUCUU